UACAGAGGGGGCAAGCGUUGUUCGGAAUUACUGGGCGUAAAGGGCGCGUAGGCGGCCUUCUAAGUCGAACGUGAAAUCCCCGGGCUCAACCCGGGAACUGCGUCCGAUACUGGAAGGCUUGAAUCCGGGAGAGGGAUGCGGAAUUCCAGGUGUAGCGGUGAAAUGCGUAGAUAUCGGGAGGAACACCUGUGGCGAAGGCGGCUCUCUGGACCACAACUGACGCUGAGGCGCGAAAGCUAGGGGAGCAAACAGG
rnacentral:rRNA from 1 species